GACGAACGCUGGCGGCGUGCCUAAUACAUGCAAGUAGGACGCAGUUGCGAACGGGUGAGUAACGCGUAGGUAACUACCUAUUAGAGGGGGAUAACUAUUGGAAACGAUAGCUAAUACCGCCUACUAGUAGAUGGACCUGCGUUGUAUUAGCUAGUAGGUAGGGUAAUGGCCUACCUAGGCAACGAUACAUAGCCGACCUGAGGUGGUGUUCGGCCAACACGGGACUGGGGCACGGCCCAGACUCCUACGGGAGGCAGCAGGAGGGAAUCUUCGGCAAUGGGGGGAACCCUGAACGAGCAACGCCGCGGGAGUGAAAAAGGGUUUCGGAUCGGAAAGCUCUGUUGUUAAGGAAGCGGUACUUAAACAGAAAGGGACGGCUAACUACGUGCCAGCAGCCGCGGUAAUUC
rnacentral:rRNA from 1 species